rnacentral:rRNA from 1 species
GACGAACGCUGGCGGCGUGCUUAACACAUGCAAGUCGAACGGGUCUGCCCUGUUUUUUGCGGGGUGGGUCAGUGGCGAACGGGUGAGUAACACGUGAGUAACCUGCCCCUCACUUCUGGAUAACCGCUUGAAAGGGUGGCUAAUACGGGAUGUUCUGGCUGUGCCGCAUGGUGUGGCUGGGAAAGAUUCACUUUUGUGGUGUUUUGGUGGGGGAUGGGCUCGCGGCCUAUCAGCUUGUUGGUGGGGUGAUGGCCUGCCAAGGCUUUGACGGGUAGCCGGCCUGAGAUGGUGGGCGGUCACACUGGGACUGCGAGGCGGCCCAGACUCCUGCGGGAGGCAGCAGUGGGGGGUAUUGCACAAUGGGCGGAAGCCUGAUGCAGCGACGUCGCGGGAGGGAUGGAGGCCUUCGGGUUGUGAACCUCUUUCGCCGGUGAAGAAGGUCCUGCUCUUUGUGGUGGGGUUGACGGUAGCCGGGUUAUGAAGCGCCGGCUAACUACGUG